GCCGGUGUAGCUCAGUUGGUAGAGCAGCUGAUUUGUAAUCAGCAGGUCGUAAGUUCAAGUCUUAUCACCGGCUCCA
rnacentral:tRNA from 2 species